CGAAGGGGGCUAGCGUUGCUCGGAAUCACUGGGCGUAAAGGGUGCGUAGGCGGGUCUUUAAGUCAGGGGUGAAAUCCUGGAGCUCAACUCCAGAACUGCCUUUGAUACUGAAGAUCUUGAGUUCGGGAGAGGUGAGUGGAACUGCGAGUGUAGAGGUGAAAUUCGUAGAUAUUCGCAAGAACACCAGUGGCGAAGGCGGCUCACUGGCCCGAUACUGACGCUGAGGCACGAAAGCGUGGGGAGCAAACAGGAUUAGGUACCCUGGUAGUCCACGCCGUAAACGAUGAAUGCCAGCCGUUAGUGGGUUUACUCACUAGUGGCGCAGCUAACGCUUUAAGCAUUCCGCCUGGGGAGUACGGUCGCAAGAUUA
rnacentral:rRNA from 1 species